GAAUGAAGCGGGAACAGCUCAAAUUUGAAAUCUCCGUCGCCUGCGACGGCGAAUUGUAGUUUCGAGAAGCACUUUCUAGGCGGACCCGGGGCCGUCCAAGUUGCUUGGAACAGCACGUCAUAGAGGGUGACAACCCCGUCUGUGGCGGAACCGGCCGCUGACGAUGCGCUUUCGACGAGUCGGGUUGUUUGGGAAUGCAGCCCAAAAUGGGUGGUAAACUCCAUCUAAAGCUAAAUACUGGCACGAGACCGAUAGCGAACAAGUACCGUGAGGGAAAGAUGAAAAGCACUUUGAAAAGAGAGUUAAAAAGUACGUGAAACCGUUAAAAGGGAAACGAAUGGGGUUAGCAAUGCGCUCCGCGAGAUUCAGCCGGGGGCUGGACCGGCCGGGCGGUCUGCGGAUCUGAAUGGACCGCGGCCGUCCGGGUCGGCCCUUCGACCGUCGCACUUCUCGCGAGCGCGCGUCAGCGUCGGUUGGGACUGGGUCUCAAAGGCGCCGUGGAAGGUAGGUCCCUGCCCUCGGGCAGGGACUGUUAUAGCCCGGCGUUUUCAUGGCCCGGACCUGACCGUGGAGCCGCGCGGCGCGUGCCUCUUCUGGCUGGGGUCCCGUCGUUCCGGUCGGUCGUCGACUGCGGUGGACUGCGUGCAGUGCGCCGCGACUGCUGCCGGUCGCUUCGGCGGUGACCUCACACACAACGCGCCCAGGACGCUGGCGGUCAUAUGGCCUCAUCCGACCCGUCUUGAAACACGGACCAAGGAGUCUAACAUGUGCGCGAGUCUUCGAGUGAUCGAAACUCCCAGGCGGAAUGAAAGUGAAGGCGGCCUCGGCCGCUGAGGUGAGAACCCUCGCGUUCGGCGCGGGGGGCGCAUCAUCGACCGACCUAUUCUACUCUUAGGAAGGUUUGAGUAAGAGCGCACCUGUUGGGACCCGAAAGAUGGUGAACUAUGCCUGAAUAGGGUGAAGCCAGAGGAAACUCUGGUGGAGGCUCGUAGCGAUUCUGACGUGCAAAUC
rnacentral:rRNA from 1 species